rnacentral:rRNA from 1 species
CAGUAGCCACGGUAAUACGGAGGAUCCAAGCGUUAUCCGGAUUUAUUGGGUUUAAAGGGUGCGUAGGCGGCCUAUUAAGUCAGGGGUGAAAGACGGUAGCUUAACUAUCGCAGUGCCUUUGAUACUGAUGGGCUUGAAUACACUUGAGGUAGGCGGAAUGUGACAAGUAGCGGCGAAAUGCAUAGAUAUGUCACAGAACACCAAUUGCGAAGGCAGCUUACUAAAGUGUCAUUGACGCUGAGGCACGAAAGCGUGGGGAUCAAACAGGAUUAGAUACCCGCGUAGUCCCUGUCUCUUAUAA